GACAUAAAUCAAAAGUGUCUUUCCUCCCUCCCUAUUGAAUCUUCUCCGGAUUUAUUGGACACCGAAAUGGAGUCCGUCCAACGGCUGAAAUCAGGGUUCGAGCAGUUUAAGAAGGAAGUUUAUGAGAAGAAGUCCGAGGUGUUUAAGCAGCUUGCCGAAGGCCAGAGUCCAAAG